GACGAACGCUGGCGGCGUGCUUAACACAUGCAAGUCGAACGGAAAGGCCCUGCUUUUUUGUGGUUCUCGAGUGGCGCACGGGUGAGUUACCCGUGAGUAUCCUUCCCUUGACUUUGGGAUAUCUUCAUACCACUGCGGCUACUACCGGCUAGGAGCUCCUGCCGCUUGGUGGGCGUUGGAAAGUUUCGGCGGUUGGGGAUGUACUCGCGGCUUAUCAGCUUGUUGGUGGGGUAGUGGAUUACCAAGGCUUUGACGGGUAGCCGACCUGAGAGGGGCACCGGGCACAAUGGGACUGAGAUACGGAGCAGACUAGAACGGGAGGCAGCGGUGGGGAGUAUGACACAGUGGGAGGGAGCCUGGUGCAGCAAUGCCGCGUGCGGGAAGACGGCCAUGGGGUUGGAAAGCGCAGUAGGUUGAGACGAAGCGUGAGUGACGGUAAUGGGAGAAGAAGCACCGGCUAACUACGUG
rnacentral:rRNA from 1 species